rnacentral:piRNA from 1 species
UCCAGACUUUGAACUUGCCUGCCAGCCUUC